rnacentral:rRNA from 1 species
AGCGGCGGACGGGUGAGUAACGCGUGGGUAACCGUGCCUCAUACAGGGGGAUAACAGUUGGAAACGGCUGCUAAUACCGCAUAAGCGCACAGUACCGCAUGGUACGGUGUGAAAAACUCCGGUGGUAUGAGAUGGACCCGCGUCUGAUUAGCUAGUUGGUGGGGUAACGGCCUACCAAGGCGACGAUCAGUAGCCGACCUGAGAGGGUGACCGGCCACAUUGGGACUGAGACACGGCCCAA